rnacentral:rRNA from 1 species
GUAGGGAAUAUUGGGCAAUGGAUGCAAGUCUGACCCAGCCAUCCCGCGUGCCGGAAGAAGGCCCUCAGGGUUGUAAACGGCUUUUGACGGUGAAGAAUCGACAGGAUGCGUCCUGUUUUGACGGUAGCCGUUGAAUAAGCACCGGCUAACUCCGUGCCAGCAGCCGCGGUAAUACGUAGGGUGCGAGCGUUAAUCGGAAUUACUGGGCGUAAAGCGUGCGCAGGCGGCGAUGCAAGACAGAUGUGAAAUCCCCGGGCUCAACCUGGGAACUGCAUUUGUGACUGCAUGGCUAGAGUGCGUCAGAGGGGGGUGGAAUUCCGCGUGUAGCAGUGAAAUGCGUAGAGAUGCGGAGGAACACCGAUGGCGAAGGCAGCCCCCUGGGAUGACACUGACGCUCAUGCACGAAAGCGUGGGGAGCAAACAGGAUUAGAAACCCUAGUAGUCC